CUUGUGGGCCAGACAGUGGGCCUGCACACAUCCAGAUGGUCCACCACUGCACCAUCCACGGGAACACAGAGGAGCUGCGGCAGAUGGCGGCCAGCCGCGAGGUGCCCCGGCCACUCUCCACCCUGCCCAUGUUCAAUGUGCGCACGGGCGAGCGGCUGCCUCCCCGCGUGGACAGCGCCCAGGUGCCCCUCAUUCUGGACCAGCACUGAGGGCCCAGCCAGUGGUUCCUGGUCCAGCCCUGACUUCAUCCUCCCUUCUCUGUCCACACCAUGAGCGGCACAUCCCACCUGCUGAUUCCAGCUCCUGGCCCGCCUGGAACCCAGGCUCUAAACAAGCAGGGAGAGGGGGUGGGGUGGGGUGAGAGUGUGUGGAGUAAGGACAUUCAGAAUAAAUACCUGCUGCUCUGCUCA
rnacentral:sRNA from 1 species